rnacentral:pre_miRNA from 1 species
AGUGGUAAAAGAAAGAGAGAAAGGCCAGAGACAUAGUGGUAAAGGUCUCUGGCCUUUCUCUCUUUCUUUACCACUAUG